GAUGAACGCUAGCGGGAGGCCUAACACAUGCAAGCCGAGCGGUAUUUAUUCUUCGGAAUAGAGAGAGCGGCGUACGGGUGCGUAACACGUGUGCAACCUACCUUUAUCAGGAGGAUAGCCUUUCGAAAGGAAGAUUAAUACUCCAUAAUAUAUUAGAUGGCAUCAUUUAAUAUUGAAAACUCCGGUGGAUAGAGAUGGGCACGCGCAAGAUUAGAUAGUUGGUGAGGUAACGGCUCACCAAGUCAUUGAUCUUUAGGGGUCCUGAGAGGGAGAUCCCCCACACUGGUACUGAGACACGGACCAG
rnacentral:rRNA from 1 species